rnacentral:rRNA from 1 species
UACGGAGGAUGCGAGCGUUAUCCGGAUUUAUUGGGUUUAAAGGGUGCGUAGGCGGGCUUUUAAGUCAGCGGUAAAAAUUCGGGGCUCAACCCCGUCCGGCCGUUGAAACUGGGGGCCUUGAGUGGGCGAGAAGAAGGCGGAAUGCGUGGUGUAGCGGUGAAAUGCAUAGAUAUCACGCAGAACCCCGAUUGCGAAGGCAGCCUUCCGGCGCCCUACUGACGCUGAGGCACGAAAGUGCGGGGAUCGAACGGG